rnacentral:rRNA from 1 species
ACGAACGCUGGCGGCGUGCUUAACACAUGCAAGUCGAACGGAAAGGCCCUGCUUUUGUGGGGUGCUCGAGUGGCGAACGGGUGAGUAACACGUGAGUAACCUGCCCUUGACUUUGGGAUAACUUCAGGAAACUGGGGCUAAUACCGGAUAGGAGCUCCUGCUGCAUGGUGGGGGUUGGAAAGUUUCGGCGGUUGGGGAUGGACUCGCGGCUUAUCAGCUUGUUGGUGGGGUAGUGGCUUACCAAGGCUUUGACGGGUAGCCGGCCUGAGAGGGUGACCGGCCACAUUGGGACUGAGAUACGGCCCAGACUCCUACGGGAGGCAGCAGUGGGGAAUAUUGCACAAUGGGCGGAAGCCUGAUGCAGCAACGCCGCGUGCGGGAUGACGGCCUUCGGGUUGUAAACCGCUUUCGCCUGUGACGAAGCGUGAGUGACGGUAAUGGGUAAAGAAGCACGGGCUAACUACGUG